UACGAAGGGGGCUAGCGUUGGUCGGCCUUACUGGGCGUAAAGCGCACGUAGGCGGGUUUGUAAGUAGGGGGUGAAAUCCCGGGGCUCAACCUCGGAAUUGCCUUCUAGACUGCAAGCCUGGAGGUCAGGAGAGGCGAGUGGAAUACCGAGUGUAGAGGUGAAAUUCGUAGAUAUUCGGUGGAACACCAGUGGCGAAGGCGACUCGCUGGACUGAUACUGACGCUGAGGUGCGAAAGCGUGGGGAGCAAACAGG
rnacentral:rRNA from 1 species